rnacentral:lncRNA from 1 species
CACACACACACACACACACACACACACAAGAACUCAGGGGUGGGCCUGGGAAACUUCAGUUGGGGAAGUGGUCACAGCCUCCCAGCCCACCCCCCACACUAUAUAAACUAGGCGUGGUGGCACUUUUUUGUCAUCCCAGCCUUUAGGAGGUAGAGACAGAAGAAUCAGUUUUUCCGAGCCUGUCUUCUGCAAUGCAGUGAGGUCAGGACCAGCCUGCGGUAAAUGAAGCCCUGCCUCAAAGAAGAAAAAGAAGGGGACGGAGGAGAAGGCCCACUUCUAAUCACAAGGGUUGAUUCUGGAGCAGUGGGAAGAUGCGGCAUGGAUAUUUCCAAUUGCAACUGAGAAGUGAGCAGUCUUUCUUUAGUGCCAGCUAUCACCGUGCUGGGACCAGAAGCAAGGUGCCAAAACCCAACCUCGGGGCAGCACUGAACACUGUGGUUCUCAUUUCUGAAAAGAAAGCAGGCUGAGGCCAAAGCUCUAUGGGAAAGGUUCAGGUAGCGGGUGUUGACAGGGAUGCUGGCUGGCACCUCGGCCAGCUCCCUCCGCGUGCAGAUCACCCGGCUGGCCUGGUUGCUGCAGG